rnacentral:rRNA from 1 species
UGGGGAAUAUUGGACAAUGGGCGCAAGCCUGAUCCAGCCAUGCCGCGUGAGUGACGAAGGUCUUCGGAUUGUAAAGCUCUUUUUGGCGGGGACGAUAAUGACGGUACCCGCAGAAUAAGCCCCGGCUAACUUCGUGCCAGCAGCCGCGGUAAUACGAAGGGGGCUAGCGUUGUUCGGAAUCACUGGGCGUAAAGCGCACGUAGGCGGAUUUGUUAGUCAGGGGUGAAAUCCCGGGGCUCAACCUCGGAACUGCCUCUGAUACUGCAAAUCUCGAGUCCGAUAGAGGUGAGUGGAAUUCCUAGUGUAGAGGUGAAAUUCGUAGAUAUUAGGAAGAACACCAGUGGCGAAGGCGGCUCACUGGAUCGGUACUGACGCUGAGGUGCGAAAGCGUGGGGAGCAAACGGGAUUAGAUACCCCAGUAGUCCCUGAGCGGGCUGGCAAGGCGCAU